rnacentral:rRNA from 1 species
UUAAGCUAAUAAGAGCGCAGGGAGGAUGCCUUGGCAUCAGGAGCCGAAGAAGGACGUGGUAAGCUGCGAAAAGCUACGGGGAUUGGCAAGCACGAUAUGAUCCGUAGAUAUCCGAAUGGAGCAAUCCACAUGGAGUCAAGUCCAUGUAUCAUAUACUGAAUAAAUAGGUAUAUGAGGGGAACCGCCCGAACUGAAACAUCUAAGUAGGGCGAGGAAAAGAAAUCAACCGAGAUUCUGUGAGUAGUGGCGAGCGAAAGCGGAAGAGGCUAAACCGAGAGGAGCAAUCCUUUCGGGGUUUAGGACUGCAUUUAGUACAAUGAUUGUUAACCGAACAGCAUGGGAAGGCUGAUCAAAGAAGGUGAGAAUCCUGUAGGUGAAAACGAAAGUUGACGAGCAGUAUCCAAAGUACCGCGGGGCACGUGAAAUCCCGUGGGAAGAUGGGGGGACCAUCCUCCAAGCCUAAAUACUACCUGAUGACCGAUAGCGAAUAGUACUGUGAAGGAAAGGUGAAAAGCACCCCGGGAGGGGAGUGAAAUAGAACCUGAAACCCUGUGCUUACAAGCACUUAGAGCACGUCAAAGUGUGAUAAGGUACCUAUUGUAGAAUGGUCCGGCGAGUUAUUGUAUGCAGCGAGGUUAAGUAGUUCAGCUACGGAGCCGAAGUGAGAGCGAGUGUUAACAGCACGUUCAGUUGCAUGCAAUAGACCCGAAACCGGGUGACCUAUCCAUGUCCAGGAUGAAGUGAGGGUAAAACCUCAUGGAGGUCCGAACCCACUCCCGUUGAAAUGGUAGGGGAUGAGGUGUGGAUAGCGGAGAAAUUCCAAUCGAACCCGGAUAUAGCUGGUUCUCCCCGAAAUAGUUUUAGGACUAGCCUCGUGAUUAAGAUUAUCGGAGGUAAAGCACUGAAUGGCCUAGGGGUCGAGAGAUUACCGAAGCCUAUCAAACUCUGAAUGCCGAAUAAUCAUGCACGGGAGUCAGACUGUGUGAGAUAAGUUUCAUAGUCGAAAGGGAAACAGCCCAGACCUACAGCUAAGGUCCCAAAGUACGUUUAAGUGGAAAACGAUGUGAAAUUGCGUAGACAACCAGGAUGUUGGCUUAGAAGCAGCCAUACAUUAAAAGAGUGCGUAAUAGCUCACUGGUCGAGUGACUUUGCGCGGAAAAUUUAACGGGGCUAAAACGUACACCGAAGCUUAGGCUUGUCACAAUGUGACAGGGGUAGGGGAGCGUUGAAUGAGGGGUGAAGUCGUAGCGAAAGCGACGGUGGACUUCAUUCAAGUGAGAAUGCCGGAAUGAGUAGCGAGAAUUAUGUGAGAAUCAUAAUGGCCGAAAGCCUAAGGUUUUUGGAGGAAGGUUCGUCCGCUCCAAGUAAGUCGGAAGCUAAGGUGAGGCUGAAAAGCGUAGCCGAUGCACAAACGGUUGAAAUUCCGUUACCACAGAAAGAUUUAAACUAAGGGACACUUUUGAAGAGCUGAUGCCGGGUGUUGGUUACCCCGGUCGUAAGGGAACGAAAUUAAGUAGUGAAGUCAGCGUGGAUGAAGGCGAGAAAAGCUUAGUGUAUAUCUUAUGUGUCCGUACCGCAAACCGACACAGGUAGGUAGGAAGAGAAUUCUAAGGCCAACGGGAGAAGGGUAGUUAAGGAACUCGGCAAAAUGUCCCCGUAACUUCGGAAUAAGGGGAGGUUUCUACGGAAACCCGCAGAGAAUAGUCCCAGGCAACUGUUUAUCAAAAACACAGCUCUAUGCUAAAUCGAAAGAUGACGUAUAUGGGGUGACGCCUGCCCGGUGCCGGAAGGUUAAGAGGAGGAGUGAGAGCCCUGAAUCGAAGCCCCGGUAAACGGCGGCCGUAACUAUAACGGUCCUAAGGUAGCGAAAUUCCUUGUCAGGUAAGUUCUGACCCGCACGAAUGGCGUAAUGAUCUGGGAGCUGUCUCAACUGCCCGCCCGGCGAAAUUGUAGUACCGGUGAAGAUGCCGGUUACCCGCGACUAGACGGAAAGACCCCAUGGAGCUUUACUGUAGCUUAAUAUUGGAUUUCGGCAUUUCAUGUACAGGAUAGGUGGGAGACUAGGAAACAUAGGCGUCAGCUUAUGUGGAGUCGUCCUUGGGAUACCACUCUUGGAGUGCUGAAAUUCUAACCUGCAGCCCUGAAUCGGGUUGGGGGACAUUGUUAGGUGGGCAGUUUGACUGGGGCGGUCGCCU